UACGGGGGGGGCAAGCGUUGUUCGGAUUUACUGGGCGUAAAGGGCGCGUAGGCGGCCUAGCAAGUCACUUGUGAAAUCUCCGGGCUUAACUCGGAACUGCCAAGUGAAACUGCUGGGCUAGAGUGCAGAAGGGGCAAUCGGAAUUCUUGGUGUAGCGGUGAAAUGCGUAGAUAUCAAGAGGAACACCUGAGGUGAAGACGGGUUGCUGGGCUGACACUGACGCUGAGGCGCGAAAGCCAGGGGAGCAAACGGG
rnacentral:rRNA from 1 species